AAUCAGUUUAAAAUUGUGACAGUUUUGCCAGGUGCCUUUAGAAGUGUGCCAAGUCUCUAAGUUCUUGUUUCCAAUGGUUAUCAUUUUUCUUUCUUGUAGAGUGAUAUGACUAAGGUUAGGAAACUAACCACCAAUGCUGAGCCUGGAACCAAUUUCAAAUCCACUGUGGUUUUACCAUAUGUCAAGGGUCUAUUUAAACAAAUCCCUGCUUCCUUCAACAAGGCUGAAUUAGAUGAUGGGUUGAAUGCUAUCACAACCUAGAGGUUUUCUUCACCUGAUAUCUGAGAAACAUUUGCACUCACAUUAGAGAAGAAACUCUUCUAGAAGAUAAACAAAGAAGCAAUGUUCACAUAAGGGUCUAUUUAAACAAAGUGUUGCUGCCUUCAACUGCUGCUGAAUUAGAUGAUGGGUUGAGUGCUAUCACAACCUAGAGGUUUUCUUCACCUGAUGUCUGAGAAACAUUUGCACUCAUAUUAGAGAAGAAACUCAACUAGAAGCCACAAAUCAAAGCACCUCACAAAGAAGCAAUGUUCACACAAGUCAUAGACAUCAAGGAAAUGUUCCCUCAUGUGGUCUUCAAUGAGAAAGAUCAAUGGUCCUGGGUAGCACUGGUCUCCAUGCUCAGAAGAGGUGAAGAAUGAAUUUUUCUUUUGCCAGCUGAAGAAUCUUGAUUAAAGCUCCUUAGCUUGUUAAUUGGUUUCUUGUAAGUUUAGUGUAUGCAUGCUCUACUGAUGGUGCAGUUUCAUUAUUGCAUCUGUCAUGUCCACUUUUGUACAGGAAGAUAACAGUUCUCCAAACCCUUGACAGCUGUUGCAAAGUUUUUAAGCCAGCAAUCCAUGCAUUCCUCAGUGGCAAGGGAAGGCUGCAAAUGAGUUAACUACACUUCCUGAAGAAAGUGUCUGUAGCCCAGAUGUUAAAGCCCUGCUUAGUCUAAAAAGUGGGAUUCUUUGAUACAGCACUGCCAAUGAGCCCAUCUAAUCAAAGGGAUUCAAGCAGUGAGGGACUUUUACAUGUGUCAAAAGACUUAUGCUGCCCUUGCAGUUAAUUGACUUUCUGGAGUACCAUUAUCAGUGGCAAGGAAAAGGCUAAAAUUGUGUUAACCACACAUCUGGAAGUGAAAUGGACCUUGUAUAACCUGUAAUUCCCUCAUAGCAUGGGGCUGAGGUCAUUGUAUCAGUGGUAUUCAUUAUAUGGACAAAGAGCUGUUGGGAAAAGGUAAUGGUUUAAAACAG